UAACAAGGUUUCCGUAGGUGAACCUGCGGAAGGAUCAUUAUUGAACGAACUUGGUGUGGUUGUAGCUGGCCCUCUCUCCGGGGGCAUGUGCACACCCGCCAUCUUUAUUUCUCCACCUGUGCACAUCUUGUAGACCUGGAUAGACUUUCCGAGGCAACUCGGUCGGGAGGACUGCUGUGCGUCACUGCCAGCUUUCCUUGCAUAUCUAGGCCUAUGUUUUCAUAUACCCCAUAGUAUGUAACAGAAUGUAUCAUUGGGCCUCGUGCCUAUAAACUAUAUACAACUUUCAGCAACGGAUCUCUUGGCUCUCGCAUCGAUGAAGAACGCAGCGAAAUGCGAUAAGUAAUGUGAAUUGCAGAAUUCAGUGAAUCAUCGAAUCUUUGAACGCACCUUGCGCUCCUUGGUAUUCCGAGGAGCAUGCCUGUUUGAGUGUCAUUAAAUUCUCAACCUUACCAGCUUUUGCGAGUUCGGUAAUGGCUUGGAUGUGGGGGUUUUGUGCCGGCUUCCUAGUGAAGUCAGCUCCCUUUAAAUGUAUUAGCUGGUGCCCUUUGUGGACUGUCUAUUGGUGUGAUAAUUAUCUACGCCGUGGACUUCUGCUUUGAAUAGGUGCAUUGCUUCUAACCGUCUGUUCAUUCGGACAAUACUUGACCAUUUGACCUCAAAUCAGGUAGGACUACCCGCUGA
rnacentral:rRNA from 1 species